UGUAAAACUAGAACAAUGGUAACACUUAAAAAAUUGUUCUUUGAUACAGUAAAGAUUAGCAUGGCCCCUGCACAAGGAUGACACACAAAUUCGUGAAGUGUUCCAUAUUAAA